rnacentral:rRNA from 1 species
UGGGGAAUAUUGCACAAUGGGCGCAAGCCUGAUGCAGCCAUGCCGCGUGUAUGAAGAAGGCCUUCGGGUUGUAAAGUACUUUCAGCGAGGAGGAAGGCGGUAAGGUUAAUAACCUUAUCGAUUGACGUUACUCGCAGAAGAAGCACCGGCUAACUCCGUGCCAGCAGCCGCGGGAAUACGGAGGGUGCAAGCGUUAAUAGGAAUUACUGGGCGUAAAGCGCACGCAGGCGGUCUGUCAAGUCGGAUGUGAAAUCCCCGGGCUCAACCUGGGAACUGCAUUCGAAACUGGCAGGCUAGAGUCUUGUAGAGGGGGGUAGAAUUCCAGGUGUAGCGGUGAAAUGCGUAGAGAUCUGGAGGAAUACCGGUGGCGAAGGCGGCCCCCUGGACAAAGACUGACGCUCAGGUGCGAAAGCGUGGGGAGCAAACA